UGGGGAAUAUUGGACAAUGGGCGCAAGCCUGAUCCAGCCAUGCCGCGUGUGUGAAGAAGGCCUUUUGGUUGUAAAGCACUUUAAGCGAGGAGGAGGCUACUUGGAUUAAUACUCUAGGAUAGUGGACGUUACUCGCAGAAUAAGCACCGGCUAACUCUGUGCCAGCAGCCGCGGUAAUACAGAGGGUGCGAGCGUUAAUCGGAUUUACUGGGCGUAAAGCGUGCGUAGGCGGCUUCUUAAGUCGGAUGUGAAAUCCCUGAGCUUGACUUAGGAAUUGCAUUCGAUACUGGGAAGCUAGAGUAUGGGAGAGGAUGGUAGAAUUCCAGGUGUAGCGGUGAAAUGCGUAGAGAUCUGGAGGAAUACCGAUGGCGAAGGCAGCCAUCUGGCCUAAUACUGACGCUGAGGUACGAAAGCAUGGGGAGCAAACAGG
rnacentral:rRNA from 1 species